UGGUGAACCAGCGGAGGGAUCAUUACUGAGUUUACGCUCUAUAACCCUUUGUGAACAUACCUAUAACUGUUGCUUCGGCGGGUAGGGUCUCCGUGACCCUCCCGGCCUCCCGCCCCCGGGCGGGUCGGCGCCCGCCGGAGGAUAACCAAACUCUGAUUUAACGACGUUUCUUCUGAGUGGUACAAGCAAAUAAUCAAAACUUUUAACAACGGAUCUCUUGGUUCUGGCAUCGAUGAAGAACGCAGCGAAAUGCGAUAAGUAAUGUGAAUUGCAGAAUUCAGUGAAUCAUCGAAUCUUUGAACGCACAUUGCGCCCGCCAGCAUUCUGGCGGGCAUGCCUGUUCGAGCGUCAUUUCAACCCUCAAGCUCUGCUUGGUGUUGGGGCCCUACAGCUGAUGUAGGCCCUCAAAGGUAGUGGCGGACCCUCCCGGAGCCUCCUUUGCGUAGUAACUUUACGUCUCGCACUGGGAUCCGGAGGGACUCUUGCCGUAAAACCCCCCAAUUUUCCAAAGGUUGACCUCGGAUCAGGUAGGAAUACCCGCUAAACUUAAGCAUAUC
rnacentral:rRNA from 1 species